UUUUUCUACCUAAUUCAGAAUAUGUAGUUACAUUAUAGGAGGAGAUCUUAAGCAUUAUAAUUUUAUUAAGGACAGUUAAAUGAGAGCGUUGCUAAAAACCUAUGCUUUUGUUUUUGGUGUGUUGAGGUGUCAUCUGGUUCUGCUUCAUUGUUGAUGUGCUUCUGCACUCCCCUGGAUUUCGUUCUUCAUUGCCCAGAUCUGGGAUCUUCAAUUUUGAAUGGUUGUUGGUCCCAGCCUGCUACUUCUGUAGACUGCUUCUUCUGUAGAUGCUUCUAUUUGAUUGAAUCUCUCCAGUUGUGAUGCGCCUCCCUCUCUUGUGGCAUUUCUUUUAUUUAACUUGAAAGGAUUGAGGAGCUGCGUCAAACACUUCUGGCAGUAUGUGGUGACCUCAGCUAUUUAUAUGGUGUUGGUAGAAGAUCAGGAGCUCCUCCAAUUGAAGAGGAUCUGUGGCAGUUGGUGUUAGUGCUAAGCUCCCUAAUUUUGCUUGGCCUUUAGUGCUAAAGCAGCUUCCUCUUUAGUGCUAAAGUGGCUCCCUUAGUUGGCUUUGUUUUUGCUGGACGAUUAUUCUUCCAAAAUGCUCGGCAAUCGAAUGACUUGUGUAGUUUACUGCGUCAUUAACAAGUUCUGGUCUAAUGGGAUAAUUGGUCUACAUACAUGCAUUACACCAAUAAGCAGUGCAGCACCCAUGAUUUGGUUUGCCCUUUAGUGCUAAACUGGCUCCCUUAGUUGGUGUGGUUUUUGCUGGAUGAAUAAUCUUCCAAUAUGUGCGGCACUUGAAUGAUUUUUGUAGUUCACUGCAAUGUUAUAACUAGUUGUGCUCAAAUGGGAUAUAAUUGCUCUACGUGCAUUACAUCAAUAAACAGUGCAGAACUCAUCCGUAGGAAAGGUAUUGUUAAGCCCCCGAUUGAAAGGAAAAAUGAUUUUCUUUUUCUUUUGACCUCGACAAUGGAGAUUUUUUUGGUUGUGGGAUGUCACCUGCUGCAAGUAGGCUUCAUUGUGGAGACUUCUUUGACGUCAACACUGGGUUACUUGGUUUGCAUGAAUCUGUUGAUAGUGUUUUUUAUUUCAAUAUUCUGCCAUACGUUCAUCUAGAGAAGGAUUGGGGACUUUUCAACAAUUCACUGCCUGUGCCAAAUGUUACAGAGAUAUCAUCUUAAUUUGGUGAGGUAGUGAUCUGAAUCAAAGUCUUUUGUGAUGUAUAUCUUAGUGUCAUAAGACAUGGAUACAACACAAGCAGUCAUGUUGAAAAUGUAUCUUGUGUGAUCUUUUUAUAUAAAUUCUAAUAUUGGCACGAUAAAGGAUGCCUAGCCUUUAUAAAAUUCCUGCUAUUACCAA